rnacentral:rRNA from 1 species
AACGAACGCUGGCGGCAUGCCUAACACAUGCAAGUCGAACGAGACCUUCGGGUCUAGUGGCGCACGGGUGCGUAACGCGUGGGAACCUGCCCUUAGGUUCGGAAUAACUCCCCGAAAGGGGUGCUAAUACCGGAUAAUGUCUUCGGACCAAAGAUCUAUCGCCUUUGGAUGGGCCCGCGUUGGAUUAGCUAGUUGGUAGGGUAAAAGCCUACCAAGGCGACGAUCCAUAGCUGGUCUGAGAGGAUGAUCAGCCACACUGGGACUGAGACACGGCCCAGACUCCUACGGGAAGCAGCAGUGGGGAAUAUUGGACAAUGGGCGAAAGCCUGAUCCAGCAAUGCCGCGUGAGUGAUGAAGGCCUUAGGGUUGUAAAGCUCUUUUACCCGGGAUGAUAAUGACAGUACCGGGAGAAUAAGCUCCGGCUAACUCCGUG